CGAACAUGUAUCUGGCAUUGAGUGCACUGUUAUGUGGCGCGUUUUUCGAGGUAAUGUAGAAAAAGCUGGUAACGGAGACCGCAGCGCUGCCUCCCACGCUAGCCCCAACUGAUCCGCCUCUUCCGUGUCUACCUUUCUGUGCGUCCGGGGACCCAACAAUGGCUCCACCCACACCACCAAGUAUGCCAACGACUACACCCUUCUGGUGGAAUUGCCGUUUUCCUGACCAAUCGAGACCUUGGGAACACUGCCCCAGUGGGAACUGUGUCGGACCAGGACUGAGGUGCGUCGACACAGAGUUAGUCAUUAUUCGUCCUCCCAUUGAGCCGACGCCGCCUCAACCAACAAGGACAA